ensembl:lncRNA
AUGGUUGUGCAUUUAUUUGGAGCAACGUCAUCUCCAAGUUGCUCUAACUAUGCGUUGAGAAAGUGUGCAGAGGAUCAUAAGGAUCUGUAUGAUGCUAAGACUGUGGACAUUGUCUUUAAUAAUUUCUAUGUAGACGAUUGUCUUGUAUCUGUGUCUACAGAUUCAGAAGCUGUUGUUGUGUACCAGAAGCUCACAGAAAUGUGCGCUAAAGGUGGAUUCCGAUUAACCAAAUGGAUAAGUAACAGCCGCACUGUGUUAAAUGCCAUCCCCGAGGAGGAUAGAGAAAAGAAAGUUAAGAACUUGGAUUUGGAACAUGACACGCUACCUUUGGAAAGAGCAUUGGGUGUGCAGUGGUGUGCCGAGUCUGAUAUCUUUAAGUUCAAGGUGAUCAUCAAAGAUAGGCCUUUUACUCAAAGAGGAAUUCUCUCUAUCAUUAGUUCCAUCUUUGACCCUCUUGGCUUUCUGUCUCCUGUGAUUCUACGUGCCAAAAUGAUACUUCAAGAUCUGUGUCGAGAGAAAAUUGGAUGGGACAGCACUAUUCCAACAGUGUACAUUCAGCGAUGGACGAGUUGGUUGGAGAAACUUCACGAAUUGGAGAAAUUUGAGGUCUGCAGGUGUUUGAAGCCAGAAAACUUUGGAGAAGUUAUAUCUGCCCAAUUGCAUCACGUCUCGGACGCUAGUGAGAAGGGUUAUGGCAUGGUGUCGUAUUUACUAUUUCAUAAUGAUCAACAAUGUGCCCAUUCCUUUCUUUUAAUGAGUAAAGCAAGAGUGACACCGUUAAGAGCUAUCACUAUCCCUCCUCUGGAGCUCACAGCAGCCACACUUGCAGGUCGCAUGGACAAGUUCUGUAAGGGAGAGCUGAAGAUGAAACUUCAGGAUUCUGUAUUUUGGACCGACAGCACCUCUGUCCUCAAGUACAUCCAAAAUGAGACUUCUAGAUUCAAAUGCUUUGUAGCUAACAGAGUUACUGAAAUUCGAAGUGUUUCUGAAAUCAGACAAUGGCGGUAUGUGAAUUCUUCCAACAAUCCAGCUGACCUAUCAUCUAGAGGUCUAAGAGUUGAUUCAUUCUUAAAGAACCAGAUGUGGAUUUCUGGUCCUCCAUUUCUUGUUCAACCACAAGAGUUGUUGCCCGUGGUUCCUACGGAUGUAGGUGUGAUGUCUUCUUGUGAUCCAGAAGUAAAAAGGAGUGUUCUGGUGAAUACUGUGCAAAUUCAUCAAGAGUAUGAUUUUAUGCCAUACUUUGAGUAUUACUCUUCAUGGAUGCAGUUGAAAAAAGGCGUAGCUUGGAUCCUUAGAUUCAGGAACAUUCUAAUUGAUCUCAGCAAGGAAAGGAAAAGGCUGAUGAACGUUUUCUCUGAUAUGGACAAGUUGCAAAGAGAAACUGUUGUUAGGAAAGAGAUUCAAAAUUUCAAAUCCAAUGUGUCUGCAAAAUUGUUAUCUUCAGAUGAGCUGGAAAGAGCUGAAUUGGAGAUUAUCCGUCUUUGCCAUAAGAAGAGAUAUUCUGAGGAACUGGCUAGUUUACGGAAAGAUGGAUUGGUAAAAUGGAAUAGUGAACUCUAUAGACUUAAUCCUGUGCUUCACUCAGAUGUCAUCAGAGUUGGUGGGCGUCUGGAUAAGGCUAUGAUGCCUGAAGAAGUUAAGCAUCCGAUAAUACUGGCCAAGGAUCUACACAUUUCAGAUUUUAUUUUGCUGCAAAUUCAUCGUGACAUUGGACAUUGUGGAUGGAAUUAUAUGCUGGCUAAUUUGCGGCAGAGAUAUUGGAUACCUGGUGCUAGCACGGCUAUAAGAAGAAUUUUGUCCAAGUGUGUGGUCUGCAGACAUCUUCAUGGAAUCCCGGGUCAUCAGCAGAUGGCAGAUCUACCACAAGAUAGAAUCACACCUGACAAACCGCCGUUCACGCAUGUUGGAGUGGACUGUUUUGGUCCCUUUGAAGUUAAACGUGGAAGGAGUGUUCUAAAACGUUAUGGAGUGAUAUUCACAUGUCUGACAAUAAGAGCUGUUCACCUUGAAAUUGCAAAUACACUUGAUACUGACUCUUUCAUCCAUGCAUUAAGGAGAUUUAUUGCACAUCAAGGACAAGUGGUCGACAUCCGUUCAGACAAUGGUACAAACUUUGUUGGUGCCCAAUGUGAAUUGCAAGAGGCUAUGAAAAACUGGAAUCAUAAUCAGAUCAAUUCAUUUCUGCUUCAAAAAGGAAUUAAGUGGAACUUUAAUCCCCCAGCUGGUUCGCACUUUGGGGGAAUUUGGGAAUGGCUUAUAAGAUCAGUAAGGAAGAUUUUAAAUUCUAUCCUUAGAGGACAAAGUUUAGAUGAGGAAGGUCUUUACACACUCUUUUGUGAAGUUGAAUCCAUCCUUAAUAAUCGUCCAAUAUCCAGAGCAUCUCUGGAUCUUAAUGAUUUGGAAGCUCUUACUCCGAACCAUCUUCUCCUCUUGAAAACACAGCCGUCUUUGCCACCUGGAUUGUUUAAAAAGGAUGAUCUAUAUUCACGACGACGUUGGCGACAGGUCCAAUAUAUGGCGGAUCUAUUUUGGAAGCGAUGGAGCUUGGAGUACCUACUUCAACUAAAAGAACGCCAGAAGUGGCUGGUGAAGAAACGCAAUUUUCAAGUGGGAGAUAUUGUGCUUGUCAUUGAUGAUACUGCUCCAAGGAGCUCAUGGAUAAUGGGCAAGAUUAUUCAGAUCACACAGGAUAAAGGGGGAUUGGCACGUCAAAUAAGAAUAAAGACCAAGAGUUCCUGCUUGACCAGAGCCAUUACUAAAGUCUGCCUUCUUCUGGAAACGGAGGACUUUAAUUAUUCCAUAACCAACUGA